AGUGAACGCUGGCGGCAGGCCUAAUACAUGCAAGUCGAACGGCAGCACAGUGGAGCUUGCUCCAUGGGUGGGGAGUGGCGGACGGGUGAGGGAUACAUAGGAAUCUGCACAGUCGCGGGGGAGAAAGCGGGGGAACUUACGCUAAUACAGCAUGCGCCCUCCGGGGGAAAACCCGGGAGCUCCGCGCCUGUCGCGCUUGGAUGAGCCCAUGUUCGAUUAGCUCGUUGGCGGGGGAAAGGCCCACCAAGGCGACGAUCGCUAGCUGGUCUGAGAGGAUGAUCAGCCACACUGGGACUGAGACACGGUCCAGACUCCUACGGGAGGCAGCAGUAGGGAAUAUUGGACAAUGGGCGCAAGCCUGAUCCAGCCAUGCCGCGUGAGUGAAGAAGGCCCUCGGGUUGUAAAGCUCUUUUGUCCGGGAAGAAAAGCAUCGGGCUAAUACCUCGGUGUUCUGACGGUACCGAAAGAAUAAGCACCGGCUAACUUCGUG
rnacentral:rRNA from 1 species